ACUCACAACUCGACAACCACUUUGAGUGGUCCUUAGAUUUGUAGCACAGCACAUGGACGCAGGAUCAUACAAGACACACUCCGACCAUCACCGGCCAUGCUGUCAUAAACAAGCACACGCACACACAAACACACUCAUGACUUACUUAGUAUCUAGUCUCCCACUCAUCGGGCCUUCUUUUCUUAUUCCUAAAACACUCUGGCCUGCUCAUUCUCCCUCUCCCGUUCUCUGUAGCCACAAUCUUCAGUUGAACCAUUUUGCAUAUAUUUACGAACACCGACAUGAUGCACAUGCACACGCAAAACACACACACGGCACACACGCACACGCACACACACAAACAUAAUCUCAUGCCAGGAAAGGCCCUGAGCCAGAGCAGGCAGAAACUCUGGAAAACCAGGAUACAAUUUGGCACUUAUGGAGCCUAAACGAUUUCCUCCUGGGCACGGCGCUCCGUCCUACUGGGAAAAGCCAAAGGACCGGCGGAGAAAAUUACAUCCGGGAAAAUGUUUAUGCAGUGCACUCUGCUCCCUCACAUUCUGCCCCGCAAAUGAGUGAUUAUUCGUCUGUUCUUAACCUCGGCAAGUGUGUGCGAGUGUGUGUGUGUGUGUGUGUGUGUGUGUGUGUGUAUUGGGGGGAGGGGGUGUUUUCCAUCAUUAGCUUGUUGGAAAGGGUAAGCGUUGGCAUAGUUUGGCUACUCUGUCACAAUGAGGCUUCCUACUUGGCAGAGCUCAAGGUAUUUGGAGAGCGCUCUUUAAGCUACUGCGUAGAAAAAGAAUGGCUGGUCAUUAGGAAGAAAGGGGGGUUUAUAUGCGUGGACUUGGGGGUACCAUGUUACACAGGCACGCACACACACACACACACACACACACACACACACACACACGUAUACACACACACACACUUACACACACACACACACACAGACACAGACAGACAGACAGACAGACACACACACACAGACACACACAGACCUUUCAUUAGGCCCUAACAGAGAGAACCCUUUCCUGGUUAAUUCUUGGAUCUGGGGCAUCCCUCAGACAGGUUCCCCAUGGUUCAAGGACUCUCCAGCCAGGUAACACAAGACAAAAGCUCUCCCCACUAGUCCUCCAGCCCCGUGCCCUGCUCUCACACUUCUUCUUCUUCCAUUGGUUGUGCCUUGUUCCUCUGUGAGGAUUUGCUGAACCCUAUUGUUUUGUGUCUAUAUGUACCUGUGUGUAUUGCCAGAUAUGUAAAAGGUGUACCAGAAUUUAAAAUAGAUAUUUGUCAUCUGGAGGGGCUUUUCUCUACCAGCUAACCACCAGGCAUUUUACAUUUUACAUGUUGAGGGUCUUUUUAGAAAAUAUGCACAUUAUCAUCACAUUUAAAGUGAAAAUUACCCACUGAUUGGAACCUUGACUUGACCCGUUUGGACGCCAAAGCCCUGUGAUCAGCCGACAGUACCGCAGAGCCCUCUCCUCACCGCUGACAUGAUGGAGGGGUCGAUCCAACAUCAAACCCUGAUCAACACCCCCUGUUCUUUUUGCUGGUCAGGCGCUAACUGGUCCCAGCGGAGGCAAGGCGUUAGGUCACUUACUCUAACAGCGUUGUCCCGGACAGGGAGAAGAGAGGCCGGGAGGGGGAGAGCAAUGGAGGGGAGAGCGAGAGGGAGAAAAAGAGGAAAAAGAAUGAUGGAUGGACAGAUGAGAGGAAGGGAGGAAAAGAGCCAUGGGAACUGGCAGGCAUGACUCUUGCUUUUGUUUUCUUUUAACAGCUCAUUCACACAUCGCGUUCUCAGAUACAGGCAGAGGCAAUUUGUCAACCCCCUCCCUUAACCCCCUCCUUUCCCUCCCUACCCCCUCUACCUCUUCUUCCCUUCUCUCUUCUCCUCUUCCUCUCCUUGGUUCGCCAGCUGGGCCAAGUUUUGCUCACGUCGUGUCUGUUUGUAUGUCUGGUCCAUUUUGUGUGUGUGUGCUUGUGUGUGUGUGUGUGUGUGUGUGUGUGUGUGUGUGUGUGUGUGUGUGUGUCUUCAUGUGAGAUCACACCUCAGAGUGUGUGUUGUGCAGCACACUCUAACCUUGACCAAUUCCCUGUGGAUCUCUCUCUCUCUCUCUCUCUCUCUCUCUCUCUCCCUCUCUCUCUCUCUCUCUCACUCUCUCGGUCAGACAUCUGGAAGUGGGUAUGUCUUUCCUACAUUUCAUCAUUCCUUUGCAGGAACUCCUCACACUUGAAUCUGAGUUAUAUGAUCCGGUGGUAGGCAUGAGCGUGUAUCCUCCUGUCUGCAUAGGUGAGGGGAUACCAUAAGUAAAAGGUUGUGUGUGUGUCUCUCUCUCUCUCUCUCUCUCUCUCUCUCUCUCUCUCUCUCUCUCUCUCUCUCUCUCUCUCUCUCUCUCCCUCUCCCUCUCCCUCUCCCUCUCUCUCUCUCGUUCCCCGUGUGGAGGGGUCAAGUGGUGAUUGCUGAUGCGGUCUGCUUUAAACACAUGUUUAGUCAGGGCCCACUCAAACGUUUGGCAACCAUUAGACAGCUUCCUCCCUACCUUCCGGAGUUUGCUCUCUGUGGACUGCUGUGUGUGUUUGUGUGUGUGGUGUGUGUUCAUAUGUUUUUAAAUAAAUGCAAAAUAAAACAAUAUUCCCCACGUACUAAUGCAAAAGCGUUUAAUAACUGAACUGCCUCAUGAGCCCACACUGGCACACAAAGACACACACGCACACAUUAACACAAACAUUCCAAUUAUAAAGUUGAGACCAGAAAGGCCUCUUACAGCUUUGUUUUGAUAGUGGAUCAGCGCAACUGGGAAAUGUACAUCGUGUCGUAGCCUCAGCGAUACAUACGCACGUACACGCGCACACACACACACACACAUGAACACACUAACACAUACACUCGCAGAGCUAAGGGGCUUGUAGGUUGUCAGGAAAUGAAAGGAUCAUUUAUCUUAGAGCGGUAUGAAAGCAGGCAGAGGAGCACAAGAGCAGACGAAAGGGUCAGUUUCUGCAUCCAGAUGCAGUCUGAGACACGGAUAAGUCGACACCAUAUGAAUAUGUUCCCCUUAUCCAUAAAGUAAACGACUAUAUCAACAGCAGUGUUUAUAUUUUAGUUUACAGUAGUCAGGACAUCUGUCUACCUAGUUGAUCCAAUAUUUCAAAUAGUGCAGAGAAUACUCCCAGCCCACAUAACUUCAACACAAACCCCGCUGGAGGUCAGGUUUGUGAACACUAGGGGGUUGGGAGACUUGUGUGCCCUGCAUGGGGAUCUGGCUGCCAAGAGGACCGGUGCCAGCGCGUGGCACGCCAGGGUUUGUGGUAUGUUAUGGCAGUGGACACAGACAGUGCACCGACAGCUCCCAACUGAGUCUCCUAGCCACAUGUGUCACUGUUAGCAUCCCCCCCCCCCCACCACACACCUGGUGCUAGGCCUGCUGUGUGUGUGUGUGUGUGUGUGUGUGUGUGUGUGUGUGUGUGUGUGUGUGUGUGUGCGUGUGUGUGCACAAGCAUGCCUUUUCAUGCCCUUUCAAGCCCUAUUUAGCCAUUCACUGUGAAGAAAGGCCAAGUGUAAGUGUGUUUAUCUUGUGACGCUAGCGAUAGCCAGUUUGAAGCAAAACCUCUCUAUCCACGGCAGGAAGGAGAGAAAAGGUUGUGUAUCAAACAGCGUUCACUGAAUCGCUUUAAUUCUGGCAGGCAUGAUCUGCCGACACGGGCCAUUGUUUGUUUACACACUACUGUGGGUGCAAUACAUGUUUGGGUUCUUAGUGCAUGACAUGUUUAUGCAUGCCUGCAUGAAUGGGUGUGUGUGUGUGUGUGUGUGUGUGUGUGUGUGUGUGUGUGUGUGUGUGUGUGUGUGUGUGUGUGUGUGUGUGUGUGUGUGUGUGUGUGUGUGUGUGUGUGUGUGUGUGUGUGUGUGUUUGCCCCAGGUGUGCCAGUUCUAGCAGUUCACAUUAGCUCUAUAACCAGGCUAGUUUGACACCUACAGAUACAGGCGAGCACUCAGCUGCAGUCGUUGGCACAUCCAUAACCUGCGCAGCGCUGCAUGCACGCUUUGUCACCCCGAUUCUGGCUCAGGUGUGUACACAGAAGGGUGCGUAGAGAGUGGGGGGAUGGGGUCUUCACACCUUUUCCUAUCUGUUUCAGGGAUUUUUUUGCUUUAUAUUUAUUUUAUUUUCAAUGUUCCUGUCAGAGUGCAUCACGUCUCAUUGCGUGUGCAUGUGCGUGUGUGUCAGGGUUAAUGUGAUGUGUGCAUGUGUGUGAUCGUCUUGCAGUGUGUUCUUCUCACACCCCCUUGCAAGGGAAUAAAUAUAAAGUGUAUUUUUUGGUCAGGCGGGUGUGACAAAAAUGCAUGCGUGGCUGCCAACAUUCUUUAGCCUAGGUUGUCCGAAAGAAUGUGUUUGAUUGAUGCAGUAUGUAUAGACUUCUGGGUGUUCGGUAUUUGUGUGUGUGUGUGUGUGUGUGUGUGUGUGUGUGUGUGUGUGUGUGUGUGUGUGUGUGUGUGUGUGUGUGUGUGUGUGUGUGUGUGUGUGUUUGGGUGUGUAUAAAUAUAUUUGUGCUGUGUGUUUACGUGUCUGUUGGUCUGACACAGCUCCUAAGAGCACUACCCAAACGCUCUUGUCAUUUGUAUAUGUGUGUGUGUAUGUGUCUGUCUGGGUGUGUGUGUGUGUGUGUGUGUGUGUGUGUGUGUGUGUGUGUGUGUGUGUGUGUGUGUGUGUGUGUGUGUGUGUGGACACACCACCUCCCAGUGUCGGCCUGUUGUUGGCACGGCGAUGUGACGGCGCGUCUCUUGCACAGACACCCAGUCAGCGAGCUCCGCUAAUCCACCUCAACAGCCGGGUCCACUGCCCGCCCCUCGCCGCAACACGUGUCAGGGCGGCCAUUGGGUAUGCCUGUGUGCACGCACUUUGUCAAGUCUGCGUGUGUGUGUGUGUGUGUGUGUGUGUGUGUGUGUGUGUGUGUGUGUGUUUUGGUAAUGAAAAGCAAUGUUAUCGUCGUCCCGGCCUAAACUUGAAGAAUGGUUGAGGAAGAGGAGUGGUGAGAUGUCUGCUAAUAAAUGUGACGAAGCUCACACACACGCUCUCACAAACAUGCACACACACACACACACACACACACACACACACACACACACCGAGAAACACACACAGAGAAACACACACAGAGAAACAGACUCGCACAACGACACACAACACAUUCAUACAUGACCUGGAGUAAUGUUGCCCUGCGAGGAGUGUGAACUAGUGUGUGGGCGAAAGGGCGAGAGGACAAGCGUGCGGCCCACACCAUUGUAGUUUUCUUUGGGGUGCACUUAGUGGUGCGGAGGGCCAGACAGACAGACUGCUGCUGGCUGGGUCAGGCUCGGGGGGUGAGGACGGGGUUCAGGGGGUUUGGCAGAGGGGGGACCAUUAGAGUGGUCAUUAGAGUGUGUGCUGUUGCUCUGAGCAGUAUAGCCCCUUCCACGACACACACACACACACACCCACCCCCCGCCCCAUCCCCAGGAGCUAGUGGCAGCCUUUUAGCCGGACCCUGCUCCUCCUUGUUGCCCUUUUCUCAAAUGGUUGCUCUCUUUGAGUUCUUCUCCAUGUCAUUGUCUUUCCUCUUUCUUCCCCUCCUCCCGCCCUGCCCCUGCCUACUGGCUGUGCCAGAGGGGGUCUGAGUGUGUGUAUGCGUGUGCGUCCCCAUUAGUUUUUGUUUGGCUGUGUGUGAGCAUGUGCAUGUGUGUGUGUCUGUGUGUGUCUGUGUGUGAGCCUGUGUGUAACCUCUCCAUGGGUGUCCACCUACCUUGUUAACACUCUUUAACAUCCAACACCAAUUAGUCCACGCCCCCAGCUACACUGGCACACACAGGUUUACUAUCACACACACACACACACACACACACACACACACACACACACACACACACACACACACACACACACACACACACACACACACACACACACACACACACACACACAGCUCCAAAUACAAUGUACACCACAUUGCCCUGACCUUCCCAGUCACAAGGCUCAUAGAGAGAAUGAACUACCUUUCAGUUCAAAUGGUAAAUACACCAUUAAUAAAAAUUCUAGAAAAUUGCAUGCAUAAUGCAUACACAAUUAAAUAAUCAAUGAAAAAUCAAACAAUGAAAAUCAAUGUUUCUACAGUUACCUGGCAUCAUAUUGUAGGCUACAGCAUCCUAUGAUAUGUUUAUGUUAUGCCACCUAACUAUGGCCCUUAGUGCUGACAACCAGAUCAAGAAGGAGGAGAGGUGCCCUUCUCAAUCAGCAACAUUGUACCUUCCAAUGCAAGAAACAAGUCAUCAUCAGUGUUGCAAAAUAACAGGCGACCUAACAUCAAACAGUGAGUGGAAAGCAAAAAAUCUUGGCCUGAACAUGAUAUCUAACAAUGAAGGACAUAACAGUAACAGUGCUGAAUGAACACUUAGAAGUACAUCAGAGCUUACUGCAGCUGGCCCCCUCGGUUUCCUGAGAGUAAAAAGAAACAAUCCCAAACCGACCGAUAUCCUUCCUCCCCACAGCGUGGAGAUUCUAGGGUCUAAAACACACGUGCAGAGCUCAUGGUCGGAUCACAAACCGCAGAUAUCGCACAGAUCUGCAAACUCCUAUCAGUACCUUCUUCACAUUACAGGCUGGACCAGGUUGUCAGUCGGAGAGGUGGCUUUGUAUUUGGGGUGGGAACCUGAAAAUAAAUAGAAUCCUGUUAUUUUUAAAGGAGCAAAGAGCAUGGACCGUGAAUGUAGCAGGUCUGUGUUCUUUGACUUCUUUGACAAAAAAAUCUAAAAUAUUAUUUGGCGUCUUUCCUGACACGGCCGCGUGCUUUGGGCUUUCGAUGAGUAGCCGUUACUCUCGUCAUUUUGCCCAUGCUGACUUGCAUCAGAACUGGAGUUUCAAACAAGGUUAUUUGUAAAACGUGAAUCUAGCAGAGGAGCCUGAAUGUAAAGGACUGCUACUCUGGCCCAUGCAUUCCUUGUUAGUGCAGCAGGCAUAAGGCAAGACUCCUUGCACUGCACUGUAGAUGACCUCUUUAUGACCGGCUCUCUUUGUCCCUCCGACCCCGACCCGACCCCCCUGCCCGUCUCUUCAUUCAUCUGAUCUCACACACACACUUGCUAUCAUCUCAGUGUGAAUGGACUGCUCAUUUUCCGACCUCUUGGCAGCAGGCCUCAUGGCUGUCCCUGUUCUUUGUCAAUCCCCGUCAUAUUCUCUCUGUAGUUUUGUGUGUGUGAGUGUGUCUGUGUGUGAAGGUGUGUGUGUGUGUGUGUGUGUGUGUGUGUGCGUGUGUGUGUGUGUGUGUGUGUGUGUGUGUGUCUGUGUGUGUGUGUUUUUCUGUAUGUCAUACAUUAGUGGCAUGAAAAGCUGUUCGGCAGGGUCAGUACUACUGUCCCCACCCCCCCAGCAGACACGGAGUCUGACACAUUGCCCAUACACACACACACAACGCAUCCAUUCACUGUCACUCCACUAGAAGACAUAUGGAGCGUAACUAAUAGCUUCAUAAAGACACUCGCGUGCACACACGCACACGCACAGCAGAUCCAUGUUUAGUAUUGUCCACCAGACACCAUUGUGUUUAUGUUGUUAGUCCGAAAGCAGGGUUUUUUUUCUGACAGAUGUGCCUUGGCACUUUCAAAAACCCCAUGUGUCCCAAAUAAUACAGUAUUUAUUCACAAACACAUGCAGACACAUGUACACUAGAUCUUGAUUGGAUGGUCCUUUUCGUCAUACCGCACAAAAUGUUUGGAGUAGAACAUGCUAUCUCGUAAAUAGGUAGGGAUUAAUGGUGAAAACAUUGCAACCUUUUUGAGUGACCAGGGUGGCAGAAGCCACCCAAUCCAUACGGACGAGGGCCAUGCACGCGCGGCACGGCUGGAUAUAGGUGCCCAUGACAGAGUGUAUGCUGCGUCCUGUGGGUGUCAGUUAUCAUUAGUGCAGUCACAGACGUGGAACACGGCACGGAGCCAUCCUGAUGGUCGGCCAACAAGGCCAGCCUGGUGGAGCAUAGCACAACACAGGAUACACGCACACACGCAAACGCACACGCGCGCACUCACACCAACACAGAUACACACAGAUGCACAGCAGCACACAAACACGGAUUCACACACACGCACGCACA